GGGGUUCAGUCUGAUCCCUCUCAUUUAGGGUUGAGAGGCUUGGAGAGAAAGAGUGAGAAGACGAGAGAAUGGAGGCGGCGAAGGUGAGAAGACGGUGCCGAGGAGCAAAUCGCGGUUCCUCUCCCGUUUUCCUCCGACAGUGGCGGAGGCGGUUUGCGGUGACUGAUAAGGGGUAGGGUCGUCCUCCCUUCAAUAAGCCACCAUCCACGGUGGUGGCUCCUCUUCUCCAAUCGGUUUUCUUCUACCUCGGUUUAUGCUUCGAAAGGUGGAAGAGGAUGACCUUUGUUAGUGGUUCCCCACCACCACAAACAGUUGUCUAUGCAAACUUUUGUACUAACUGUGGGGUUGUGUAGGAUUCCUUGUGAAAGUUUGGACAUUAGCACAAACAUAGAGGAUGCUACUGAAUCAAAAAAGAUAGUGCUUUAUUCAAAACCCAAGUAAGAGCAAAGAAUAUGAGUAUGCACAAGUUGGAUUUGCUUUGAGUUGUUUGGUGCGGCGAAAGUAGUGCGGAUAUCUGUUUUAUUGUAUGUGUGGUGUUGUUGUAUCAAGCUAGUUCGCAGUAUAUCUCCUUGCUAAAUGCCAACCCAAUGCCAUAAUUUCCUUUCUACUUUAUCUAAUUACACCGUGUUUAUCAGCAUUAUGGAUUACUAUAAGGAAAUGCUUCAAUUGCUAUCGUAAUAUGAUUAUUAUUGCAGAGAAGUUAUGAACGUGAAUCUUUUAGUUAUGCAGCCUUGUUGUUGAAGCCAAUUUGCCUUAUGGUGAUUUAUAAACAGUAUGAAAUAGGAUUAAUAGUCAUGGUACUUGCUUUUUUGAAUGCCAUUUGAAUAAACUCAUGA